rnacentral:rRNA from 1 species
UACAGAGGCCUCGAGCGUUAGGCGGAAUCACUGGGCUUAAAGCGUGUGUAGGCGGACUUCUAAGUACCUUGUGAAAUCCCACAGCUUAACUGUGGAACUGCUUGGUAUACUGGUUGUCUUGAGUCAUCUAGGGGCGAGCGGAACAAGUGGUGGAGCGGUGAAAUGCGUAGAUAUCCGGAAGAACACCGGUGGCGAAGGCGGUCUGCUGGGCAGUAGCUGACACUGAGGCGCGACAGCGUGGGGAGCAAACAGG